rnacentral:rRNA from 1 species
UUAGGAAUAUUCGUCAAUGGAGGAAACUCUGAACGAGCAAUGCCGCGUGAGCGAUGAAGGCCCUAUGGGUCGUAAAGCUCUGUUGUGAAGGAAGAAUGAUUGAUAUAGGGAAUGAUAUCAAAGUGACGGUACUUCACCAGAAAGCCCCGGCUAACUACGUGCCAGCAGCCGCGGUAAUACGUAGGGGGCGAGCGUUAUCCGGAUUUAUUGGGCGUAAAGCGUGUGUAGGCGGUUUAUUAAGUAUAAGAUCAAAGCCUGGAGCUCAACUCCAGUAAGUCUUAUAAACUGGUAGACUAGAGUAUG